CGACCUCAGGUCAGGCGGGGCUACCCGCUGAGUUUAAGAAAAUCAAUAAGCGGUGGACAAGAAACUUACGAGGAUUCCUUUAGUAAUGGUGAGUGAAUCGGGAAGAGCCUAGCUUUAGAUCGAGCGGCUUUAUUGUUCGAACUGUAGUCUGUGGAAGCAUCCUCAGUGACGGACGAGCCCAAGUCCCCUGAAAGGGGGUACUGGAGAGGGUGAGAGCCCCAUCGUGUCCAAACCCUGUCGCACCAUGAGGCACUAUCGGCUAGUCGAGUUGUUUGGGAAUAUAGCCCCAAUUGGGCGGUAAGUUCCAUUCAAGGCUAAAUAUGGGCGAGAGACCGAUAGCGAACAUGUACUGCGAGGGAAAGAUGAAAAGGCCUUUGAAAAUAGAGUUAAAGAGUGCUUAAAAUUGUCAGGAGGGAAGCAGAUGGGGGCCGACGAUGCGUCUCGAUCGAAUACGGAACGGUUAAUAGCCAGUCCACCGCUUGACUCGGGGCAUGGACUGAUGUGGAUUACAGUGACGUCCCAAGCCCGGGUUGUCGUGUUAUGCCUAAGGAGAUGUCAUCGCCGUGAUCAUGGUAGGCAACGUGCGCUUCGAUGGCAUGCCUAUUGGCAACUGCAUGCUGCGGCCAUUGACCUGUCAGGCUCCCCAUUUGACCCGUCUUGAAACACAGACCAAGGAGUCUGACAUGUGUGUGAGUCAAUGGGCAAGUAAAACCCGUAAGGCAUAAAGAAGCUGAUUGGUGGAUCCACUUGUGGGUUGCAUUGCCGACCGACCUUGAUCUUCUAUGAAGGGUUCGAGUGAGAGCAUACCUGACGGGACCCGAAAGAUGGUGAACUAUGCCUGAGUGGGGCGAAGCCAGAGGAAACUCUAGUGGAGGCCCACAGUGAUACUGAUGUUCAAAUCGUUUGUCUGACUUGGGUAUAGGGGCAAAAGACUAAUCAAACCAUCUAGUAGCCGGUUCCCUCCCAAGUUUCCUUCAGGACAGUAGGAGCCCGUAGGCGAGUUUUAUCGGGUAAACCCAAUGAUUAGAGGCAUCGGGGGUGCAACGCCCUCAACCUAUUCUCAAACUUUAAAUAGGUAGGAUGGUAUGGCUGCUUCGUUGAGCCGUACCAUGGAAUCGAGAGCUCUAAGUGCCCAUUUUUGGUAAGUAAAACUGAGGAUGCUGGAUGAACCGGAAGCCAGGUUGUGGUGCCGGAUUGCACGCUAACCUAAAACCCACAAAGGGUGUUGGUCGAUUAAGAUAGCAAGACGGUGGUUAUGGAAGUCCAAAUCUGCUAAGGAAUGUGUAACAACUCACCUGUCGAAUCAACUAGCCCCGAAAAUGGAUGGCGCUGAAGCACGCAACCUAUACCCAGCUGUUGGGGCAACAGCCAGGCCCCAAUGAGUAGGAAGGCGUGGCAAUCUCCAUAAAACCUGGGGCGUGAGCCUGGGUGGAGCGAUCAUGGUGCAGAUCUUCGUAGUAGUAGCAAAUAUUCAAAUGAGAACUUUGAAGGCUGAAGAGGGGAAAGGUUCCAUGUGAACGGCACUUGCAUAUGGGUUAGUCAAUCCUAAGGGACGGGGGAAGCCCAUCAAAGAGUACAUACGCACCAGGACAUGGCUAUUGACGGCAUUGUUAGGAAGUCCAGAGACGUCAAGGGGGGCCUCGGGAAGAGUUAUCUUUUCUAUUAAACAGCCUACCCACCCUGGAAAUGGUUCAACUGAAGGUAGGGUCCAGUAGUUGGAAGAGCACCGCAAGUUGCAUGGUGUCCAGUGUGCCCCCAGUGGCCCUUGAAAAUUUGGAGGACCGAGUGCCGACCAUGCCCGGUCAUACUCAUAACCGCAUCAGGUCUCUCAGUUGAACAGCCUCUGGUUGAUGGAACAAUAUAGGCAAGGGAAGUCGACAAAAUGGAUCCAUAACCUUUGGAAAAGGAUUGGCUCUGAGGGUUGGGAACAGGGGUCCCAGUCUCGAACUCGUCGGCUAUCGGCGGACUGCUCGAGCUACUUUCAUGGCAAGAGCGGGUCACCGCGUGUCGAUCAAGGGACAAACUGGGAACGGCCCCCUCAGGGGCCUUCCCUGGGCGUCAAACAGUUGACUCAUAACUGGUACAGACAAGGAGAAUCCAACUGUUUAAUUAAAACAAAGUAUUGCGAUGGUCCCUGCGGAUGCUCACGCUAUGUGAUUUCUGCCUUGUGCUCUAAAUGUCAAAGUGAAGAAAUUUAACCAAGCACGGGUAAAUGGCGGGAGUAACUAUGACUCUCUUAAGGUAGCCAAAUGCCUCAUCAUCUAAUUAGUGACGUGCAUGAAUGGAUUAACAAGAUUCCAAAUGUCCCUGUCUACUAUCCAGUGAAACCACAGCCAAGGGAAUGGGCUUGGCAGAAUCAGCGGGAAAAGAAGACCCUAUUGAGCUUGACUCUAGUCCGACUUUGUGAAAUGACUUGAGAGGUGUAGGAUAAGUGGGAGCUAGAAACGGCGCAAGUGAAAUACCACUACUUUUAAUGUUAUUUUACUUACUCCGUGAGUCGAAGGUGGGGCUCUACCCCUCCUUUUGGACCCAAGGCCCACCUCGGCGGGGCGAUCCGGGUGGAGGACAUUAUCAGGUGGGGAUUUUGGCUGGGGCAACACAUCUGUUAAUAGAUAACGUAGGUGUCCUAAGAUGAGCUCAACGAGAACAGAGAUCUCGUGUGGAACAAAAGGGUAAAAGCUCAUUUCAUUUUGAUUUCCAAUACGAAUACAAACCGUGAAAGUGUGGCCUAUCGAUCCUUUAGACCUUCGGAAUUUAAAGCUAGAGGUGUCAGAAAAGUUACCACAGGGAUAACUGGCUUGUGGCAGCCAAGCAUUCAUAGCAACAUUGCUUUUGGUCCUUCGAUGUCUGCUCUUCCUAUCAUUGCGAAGCAGAAUUCACCUAGUGUUGGAUUGUUCACCCACCAAUAGGGAACAUGAGCUGGGGUUACCCUAUUGAUGAUAGUGUCGCGAUAGUAAUUCAACCUAGUACGAGAGGAACUGUUGAUUCACACAAUUGCUCAUCGCGCUUGGUUGAAAAGCUAGUGGCAUGAAGCUGCCGUGUGCCAGAAUAUAACUGAAUGCCUCUAAGUCAGAAUCCAGGCUAAAGAAGCGAUACUUGUGCCCGUCGCUCAUUUUCCAACCCACAGUAGGGGCCCUCCAGCCCCCAGAGGCACAUGUCGUUGGCCAUACCCCCACAGUGGACGUGUUGUGUGGGCUGCCUUGAAGCAUAAUUCCUAUCGGGCGAUGGGUAGAAUCCUUUGCAGCUGACUUAAAUACGUGAUGGGAUAUUGUAAGUGGCAGAGUGGCCUUGCUACCACAAUCCACUGAGAUUCAUCCCCGUGUAGCAUCGAUUCAU